GGAUGUGAGGGCGAUCUGGCUGCAACAUCUGUCACCCCACUGAUCGCCAGGGUGGAUUCGGCUGAUCUGGCUGGCUAGGCGGGUGUCCCCUUCCUCCCUCACCGCUCCUUGUGCGUCCCUCCCGAAGCUGCGUGAAGCGGAGGACCGAUCUUUGGUCAAGAGUAUACGAGCAGCUGCGCUCCCCUGCUAGAACCUCCAGACAAGUUCUCAAAUAAAGUGAAUAAAAAAUAAAACAUUUUUUAAAAAGAAAAACAGGGCUGGAGAGAUGGCUUAGUGGUUAAGUGCUUGCCUGU
rnacentral:snRNA from 1 species